UCCCUGGAGGACUAGUGGUUAGGCCACAGUGGUCUCACCGCUGUGGCUCGGGUUCGACUCCCGGCCAGGGAA